GUGGAAGUCACUUUUUUGGGGAAAGAAGCUCAAAAACUUCUUGGCCUAGAUCCUUCCGAGUUUUAUAAAAAACAAAAUCAAGGACCCAUAACGCAGGUGGAUUUUCUUAGGCAACGCCUAUGCAAUAUUGUCUUACUCUUAAAGUUAAAAAGUCGAAUAUUUAAAGAUGUUUGUACUUUCACUGCGGAUGCUAUUGAGAUUUUACAAGAUGAUGGUGCAAUACCAUCUGAGAAAAGUAGCAUUGAACCUGAAGCUCAUCUGGAGCAAGGGCUGCUAAAAAGUGCGACGAGACAAUUGGUUUUUCCCGAGUCAUUAGAUAAUGAUGAAGACAUUCGAGCAAAGGAUGCUGCCAAAGCUAAAGGCAAGGGGAAAAUAUCCCAAGAAAGCCAUGUUGAAU